UAUGGGCAUUGCUUCUAGUUCCACUUCACAACUCUCUCCAUUCCUCUCUUUAUUGUGUCAUAUCCUCAUUGCUAUUUUCCUUCUAUACUUGUAGAGAGAAUAUAUUACUUCUUAUUAUAAUUCCUCUAGAUGAUGAUAAGAAGUGAUGAAUAUUUGAAGAUAUAUACUUUUACUAGUUUUACAUGAAGUCCUAUCAUGCUUUUCCACAGCUUUCUUGAACUUCUUCCCCUCUGAAUUUUCAUCUCUAGCAAUUGAAUAGCUGAUGAGAUGAAAUUAAGCUAUGAAAGUUCAAGAAAGUUGUGGGAAAACAUGGUGAAUUUAGGACUUUUUUCGUGCAUAGUCAAAGAUGUUUAGGUAGUCAACCAACUGAACUAUUAAAAUUUCGCUCGGGAAUUUUGAAUUCCGAAGGGGAGCCUUGGAAGAGGAGAGCCUUGGAGCAACGGUAAAGUUGUCUUCAUGUGAUUUAUAGGUCACGGGUUCGAGCCGUGGAAACAGUCACUAAUGCUUGCAUUAAGGUAGGUUGUCUACAUCAUACCCCUUAGGGUGCGGCCCUUCUCCGGACCCUAUGUUAACGCGAGAUGCCUUGUGCACUAGGCAGCUGCCCUUCAAAUUCUGAAUUCUAAAUUAGAGAAAGGUGACUGUUUUUCUAUUUAUUUUAUUAUUCUGAUUUGCUUGACUUUUAUGGUAGAUCAAUUUUCUGAAUUCUGAAUACUCAUUCAGAGUGGUGAAAAUUGAGAUAAUUAAAGUGGCAGAGAAGAUUCCCUGGCU